rnacentral:RNase_P_RNA from 1 species
UGUGUGGUCUAGACAGUCGCUUGCCUGUGAGGGUGAGAGGAAAGUCCGGGCUCCGCAGGGCAGGAGGGUUGCUAACGGCAACCGGGGGUGUCUCAAAGGCGCUUCCAGGGAAAGUGGCACAGAAAAUGUACCGCCCGGCUUGCGUGUCUGAUGCUCAGGAGAGCCCGAAAGCUCCGAGUACCGGUCGCGGCCUGUAAGGGCCCGGGUAAGGGUGAAAAGGUGCGGUAAAAGCGCACCGCGCGUCUGGCAACAGGCGUGGCAGGCCAAACCCCCUCCGGAGCAAGGCCAAAUAGGGACCGAUUGGGCGAAAGCCCGGCGAGGCGGCUCGUCUCGUAGCGAAUGUGACGCGAGAGGUCCGGGUAGGCUGCUGGAGCUGCGGGGUAACCCGCAGCCUAGACGAAUGACUGUCCCCGGCUUUCGGGCCGGGACAAAACCCGGCUUAUCGGAUCACAAAGACG